UACGUAGGGUGCGAGCGUUGUUCGGAUUUAUUGGGCGUAAAGAGCGUGUAGGCGGCCAGGUAGGUCUGCUGUGAAAACUCGAGGCUCAACCUCGAGACGUCGGCGGAAACCAUCUGGCUAGAGUCCGGAAGAGGAGAGUGGAAUUCCUGGUGUAGCGGUGAAAUGCGCAGAUAUCAGGAGGAACACCGGUGGCGAAGGCGGGUCUCUGGGAAACAACUGACGCUGAGGAGCGAAAGCGUGGGGAGCGAACAGG
rnacentral:rRNA from 1 species